rnacentral:rRNA from 1 species
CCUACGGGAGGCAGCAGUGGGGAAUAUUGCACAAUGGGGGAAACCCUGAUGCAGCGACGCCGCGUGAGUGAAGAAGUAAUUCGUUAUGUAAAGCUCUAUCAGCAGGGACGAAAAUGACGGUAGCUGAUUAAGAAACACCGGCUAACUACUUGCCAGCAGCCGCGGUAAUAGGUAGUGGGCAAGCGGUGUCCUGAUUUACUGGGCGUAAAAGGUGCGUAGAGGGUAUGUUAAGUCAGAGGUGAAAGGCUGCGGCUCAACCGUCGUAAGCCUUUGAAAAUGGAGACCUUGAGUGCAGGAGAGGAGUGUUGAACUCCUAGUGUAGCGGUGAAAUGCGUAGAUAUUAGGAGGAACACCAGUUGCGAAGGCGGCUCUCUGGACUGUAACUGACACUGAGGCACGAAAGCGUGGGGAGCAAACAGGAUUAGAUACCCUAGUAGUC